UACACUCCUACGGGAGGCAGCAGUGGGGAAUUUUGGACAAUGGGCGAAAGCCUGAUCCAGCAAUGCCGCGUGCAGGAUGAAGGCCUUCGGGUUGUAAACUGCUUUUGUACGGAACGAAAAAGCUCCUUCUAAUACAGGGGGCCCAUGACGGUACCGUAAGAAUAAGCACCGGCUAACUACGUGCCAGCAGCCGCGGUAAUACGUAGGGUGCGAGCGUUAAUCGGAAUUACUGGGCGUAAAGCGUGCGCAGGCGGUUAUGUAAGACAGAUGUGAAAUCCCCGGGCUCAACCUGGGAACUGCAUUUGUGACUGCAUGGCUAGAGUACGGUAUAGGGGGAUGGAAUUCCGCGUGUAGCAGUGAAAUGCGUAGAUAUGCGGAGGAACACCGAUGGCGAAGGCAAUCCCCUGGACCUGUACUGACGCUCAUGCACGAAAGCGUGGGGAGCAAACAGGAUUAGAUACCCCAGUAGUCCCAUGG
rnacentral:rRNA from 1 species